AUGGACCCGUCCUCCGGUGCCUACUGAGCUGAUAUCAGUUCUGAUUUUACACACUGGCUCAGUUCAGCAGGAACAGGAGUCGAGCCCUA
rnacentral:miRNA from 1 species